GACGAACCGUCCAAACGUUACUCGGAAUCACUGGGCUUAAAGGGUGCGUAGGCGGCCUGGUAAGUUGGGUGUGAAAGCCCUCGGCUCAACCGAGGAAUUGCGCCCAAUACUGUCGGGCUUGAGGAAGAUAGAGGUGAGCGGAACUAAGGGUGGAGCGGUGAAAUGCGUUGAUAUCCUUAGGAACACCAGUAGCGAAAGCGGCUCACUGGGUCUUUUCUGACGCUGAGGCAAGAAAGCUAGGGGAGCGAACGGG
rnacentral:rRNA from 1 species